rnacentral:sRNA from 1 species
GAUGUGAUCGAGGGCAUGGGUCCUGGGCUUCCCCCUCAUGGGUAAAACCAGAGCUGCCGUAUGCCAGCCGCAGAGGCAUGGACGGCUCCUGAGCUCGGACAGCAGAGGGACAGACCAUCGACGCGUUGGCACCGUGGCCAGAGUCUGUUCAAGAAAGGUCGGCAGGGAGGGCUGAGAACUCGGCAGACACACCUUCCAAGGGCCCUGCUGGAACCCCUGGAGCAGGAGGAAGCGGUGAUUCUCCAGGCCUUGGACCUACUUAUGGAGAGAGAGACAUGGAGGGAGCUCCUGUGACCCUCAAGUCCCCUCAUCACGUCCCCUUCCAGUUGGCUUUCCGAGUUUAGCUCCCAUGUUUGGCCCAUGGAGGUUUAUGUCUUCUAUCUCAGUCAUUGUCCCUGCCACAUGCCCACCCGCACGGGCUGACGUCACAGGCCCUACUCAGCCCUGCUUCCUCUCCCCUUGGCCUUACCUUGAUGUCAGGGGGGUGUUCUCUGCUCUGACUCAGGGGCAGUGACUGGCUUCCUUCCAGUACCUUCUCUGGAUAAUGCGUAUGGAUGAC